CCUACGACCUACACUGAGGAAUAUUAACCUUAUUAUUUUCACCUACGAUCUUCUUCUACGUCAUAUGAGUGUAUUCUCACCCAUCUUCGUUCGCUGGCUCCAUCUUUUGCUUGCUCAUCAGUCAUCCAUGACGUUUACAACUCAGUUUCUCAUCUGCUCCCGUCAAAUCGCGUCUCUGCUUCCUUCAAUUGCAUCGUCACCGACGCUCGCUUUCCCUCGCCGAAAAUGGUGGAACCAGCCAUAUUUUGACAGCUCCAUGCAUUCACUGUAAUUUGGUCAUCCUUCUUUCUAAAUUCCAGAUCUGAGUGCAUUCCCAAGGAGCAAAUUGUGGAUAAGCAAUCCUUUGCAAAUUCGAAGCUUAUGCCCUGAAAGAGAAGCAUGAAAGAUCAGAGCAAGGAGCUCCAUAGUUGGCAAUUAUGAUCUUGAAUUUAUUGAAAUUUGUUGAAGGAAUGUCUGCCACUGCUACCUAGAAUGCAGGUGAGUGAUCCUGUUGCAAAGUAUUAUGGACUUAAGCGUGGGCAAAUCGUGAAGAUAAUUCGGCCAAGUGAGACUGCAGGCAGAUAUGUCACCUACUGAUUUGUUGUUUGAUAACUUCCUUGAAUAUACUGACCUUACUAUCCUUACUAUGCUACUGUGUUCCGUUAUCAAUUGAUAUUGAUACAAAGCUUGGACAAGGAUGCAAAGCCUUUUGGAAUAGGGUGACCUCUUUCUGUUUAUACUUUAUAAUAGAUAAAUAUUUGUGUUACUAUUGGAGCUUUGGAAUCAAAAGCGAGCAUGAUCUUAUCAUAUAAAAAUGUGUUGAAAGGCAUUUUCUCUA